rnacentral:rRNA from 1 species
GGGUGAGUAAUGCCUAGGAAUCUGCCUGGUAGUGGGGGAUAACGUCCGGAAACGGGCGCUAAUACCUGCAUACGUCCUGAGGGAGAAAGUGGGGGAUCUUCGGACCUCACGCUAUCAGAUGAGCCUAGGUCGGAUUAGCUAGUUGGUGGGGUAAAGGCCUACCAAGGCGACGAUCCGUAACUGGUCUGAGAGGAUGAUCAGUCACACUGGAACUGAGACACGGUCCAGACUCCUACGGGAGGCACAUGGGGAAUAUUGGACAAUGGGCGAAAGCCUGAUCCAGCCAUGCCGCGUGUGUGAAGAAGGUCUUCGGAUUGUAAAGCACUUUAAGUUGGGAGGAAGGGCAGUAAGUUAAUACCUUGCUGUUUUGACGUUACCAACAGAAUAAGCACCGGCUAACUUCGUGCCAGCAGCCGCGGUAAUACGAAGGGUGCAAGCGUUAAUCGGAAUUACUGGGCGUAAAGCGCGCGUAGGUGGUUCAGCAAGUUGGAUGUGAAAUCCCCGGGCUCAACCUGGGAACUGCAUCCCAAAACUACUGAGCUAGAGUACGGUAGAGGGUGGUGGAAUUUCCUGUGUAGCGGUGAAAUGCGUAGAUAUAGGAAGGAACACCAGUGGCGAAGGCGACCACCUGGACUGAUACUGACACUGAGGUGCGAAAGCGUGGGGAGCAAACAGGAUUAGAUACCCUGGUAGUCCACGCCGUAAACGAUGUCGACUAGCCGUUGGGAUCCUUGAGAUCUUAGUGGCGCAGCUAACGCGAUAAGUCGACCGCCUGGGGAGUACG